AUACGGAGGAUCCGAGCGUUAUCCGGAUUUAUUGGGUUUAAAGGGUGCGCAGGCGGCCAUUUAAGUCAGCGGUUAAAUCGUGGGGCUCAACCCCAUUCUGCCGUUGAUACUGGGUGGCUUGAUUGCGGUCGAGGUUGGCGGAAUUCGUUGUGUAGCGGUGAAAUGCAUAGAUAUGACGAAGAACACCGAUUGCGUAGGCAGCUGACCAGACCGCAAAUGACGCUCAUGCACGAAAGUGCGGGGAUCGAACAGGAUUAGAUACCCUGGUAGUCCGCACAGUAAACGAUGAAUACUUGUUUUCGGCGAUAUAAUGUCGGUGGCAAAGCGAAAGCGAUAAGUAUUCCACCUGGGGAGUACGCCGGCAACGGUGAAACUCAAAGGAAUCGACGGGG
rnacentral:rRNA from 1 species